ACCAUUUUCAGCAUCAGCUGUUCAUUCAAGUUUUCAGUUUUCCUUUUCAGUAGUGUUUACAAACUAUGAUCUAUACAUAUGCUAUGAUACAAACCAAAAUAUAAAGUUGAUCAUGUUAAAGUAAAUUCUUCUGUGUACGGUCCAUCUAGUGAUACGUGUUAAAAUCAAUAAUUCAUAACAUUAUUAUUACAUGAACAAUUGCUGUUUUAAAACCUUGCUUUUAGUUGAACUACUGUAAUGAUUACAAUACAAACAUGGGAAGGCAUAAAGAAUGGAGGAAAAUUGCAAAAAAGAUGAGGAGAAAGCGAAUUCGCAGUGAAAUUGCACACGAGAGGGAUAGACUUCUGCUAUUGGAAGAAGUAACUCGAGCCAAGUCUCCAUCUCAUAUCCAGUGGUUGGAAGAGCAAGCGGCAUUGGAAGAGUUCGCUAGGCAGGAAGAGGCGAGAUUGUCGAGGGAGAGACACUUGAAAUGGCAAGCUGACGAGUUGGAGGCGCAACAGCGGUGGAAGGAGCAGCAGAUCCGAUUGGCUGAGGCCAACGCAGAAAAGGAAAAACACAAGCUUUUGAUAAAAGAAGAAUGGGAAAGAGAACAGAAGAAACUAAAGGAGGAAGAAGAAAGGAAACGGAAGGAACAAGAAGAAAAGAAGAAACGAAAUGAGGAGUUGUUAGCACAAAUCGAAGCAUUUAUCGCUGGAACGGCUGACCUGCCUGCGUCUGCAGUGGUGGGCAGAGAGACGCAACCGGGACAUCCCGAGUGUCCUUUCUUUUCAAAAACUGGCGCCUGCCGAUUCAGAGACAAUUGCUCCAGGAAUCAUAUAUGCCCAGGAAUAAGUAAUGUUCUAUUAAUUUCAAGCUUCUACGAACAUUUUGGUAUGCAUACAGAGCGGCACCAUGAAUACGAUACCGAUGUCAGCUUGGAAUAUGAGGAUUUUGAGACUUACAGUGACUUCAAAGAAUUCUUCUACGACAUCUUACCAGAAUUUGAAUCUUGUGGUGCUUUAAGACAACUGAAAGUGUGUUGCAACUACGAACCACAUUUGAGGGGCAAUGUUUACGUUGAGUACUUGAACGAGCGACAUGCUCUCAAGGCCUACCAGCUGUUUCAAGGCCGCUACUACGCUGGUCGGCAACUCAGUGUUAUGUUUGUCAACAUCCCUUCAUGGAAAAAUGCACUAUGUGGUUGGUAACCAAUACUGUUUCGACAGAAACAACACUUCAUGAGCAGUGAACGCUAUACUGUACCAUGAAUCACUUGACUGUUUCACAAGCAGCGUUGUCCAAAAGGGAGGCAUUGCAAUUUCCUACACGCAUUCCGCAAUCCAGGAAACGCAUUCAGAAAUGCUGACUUCGACAGAUCUCCUCCCCACAGCUCCACGAAAUCAAGUUCGCAUGACGAUUGGAGAUGGUCUCCUUCACCAGAGAAUAUGGAUGCACCUCGCAGACCAAGAGAGAAGAGCAGGAGAAACAGAAGUAGGAGCUCGGAUAGAAGAAGAAACAGAAGUAGGAGUUCAGAAAAAAGAAAACGCGAGUACAGGAAACGUGAAAGUUGUUCAAGAGAAGAUUCGAAGAGUGGCCGAGGACGGAGCAAGUCUAAUAGCCGGUGGCACUCUGGCAAGAAACGCGAUAGGGACGCACAUGGUAAGGAGAACACGCCCAGUCCCAAAUCUAGAAAAGUCAAAGAUAGGUCACGUCAUAAAGAUAAGGAGAAAGAAAAAAUACAUACUAGUGAUAGUAGUUGUAGUGCUGAACGAAAGUCCGAUAAAUAAAAUUAUGUGCAUACGCA
rnacentral:misc_RNA from 1 species